UACGUAGGCAGCAAGCGUUGUUCGGAGUUACUGGGCGUAAAGGGUGUGUAGGCGGUUGGGUAAGGGUGGGGUGAAAUCUCCCGGCUCAACUGGGAGGGUGCGCUACAAACUGUCUGACUAGAGUGUGGGAUGGGUAAGUGGAAUUCCUGGUGUAGCGGUGAAAUGCGUAGAUAUCAGGAGGAACACCGGUGGUGUAGACGGCUUACUGGACCAUAACUGACGCUGAGACACGAAAGCGUGGGUAGCAAACAGG
rnacentral:rRNA from 1 species